GAAAAGAAGCUCAGUAACCAGACAUUUUGUUUCAAUUAGUUCGAAUUUCAAUCCUUUCUUUGGUUUACAAAAUCUAAAUUUGAAAAUUUCAAAGUAUGCAAAUUAGUCACAAUCGAUGUGAAUCAGCUGACUCCACGGAGCAGACAACAAACCUAGUUGCUCAUUACAAUCAGUGUGAACCUGCUGACUACAUUAACCAGUUGGUGUCGUUCAGAAACAACCGACAAACAGAGGAAGAAAAUAAAUCGUCGAGCCAGAGGAUAUUGAAACUACUCCUUCGGUUCUGGAACUGGUUUUCCAUUCAAUAUCAUUUACUAUAUGAGCACUUCCUGAUCGAAAUGGACACAAAUGGUUCAUCUGCACUGCUAUUCGUAAUAAUGCCAGUCAUAACCAUUUGUCUGUCAAAAUUAAGCAAACCGUGGACUAGGCAGAAUCGUCAAAUCAAAUCUGAAUGGGAUCGGUUACGGUCACCAAUGAAUUCUCGAUCCAUGUUUUCUUUCGCAAGGCCCUUUUUGUACGUAUUUAGAUGACACCAAAUUAGGCCUGUUCGUGUUGCAACUACCGAUUUAGAAAGAUUCGGGAAAGAUUGAUUCGAAUUGGAAAGAAAUCCUAACAAUUCAUUGAAUACAUUAGCGACUGCGAAAUGACAUAGAUGUGAGUCCUUUUUUUAAAGCAUUUUC